rnacentral:rRNA from 1 species
GAUGAACGCUGGCGGCGUGCCUAACACAUGCAAGUCGAACGCUCGCAAGAGAGUGGCGCACGGGUGAGUAACACGUAGCUAAUCUGCCCUCAAGACAAGGAUAACUGUAGGAAACUACUGCUAAUACUUGAUAAGCUUACGGACUGUAGAGGUCUAUAAGAAAGAUUUAUCGCUUGAGGAUGAGGCUGCGCGCCAUCAGCUAGUUGGUAAGGUAAUGGCUUACCAAGGCGACGACGGCUAGGGGACCUGAGAGGGUGACCCCCCACACUGGGACUGAGACACGGCCCAGACUCCUACGGGAGGCAGCAGUGAGGAAUAUUGCUCAAUGGGCGCAAGCCUGAAGCAGCGACGCCGCGUGGAUGAAGAAGGUUUUCGGACUGUAAAAUCCUUUUCUGUGUGACGAGAGUGGACGGUAGCACAGGAAUAAGUCUCGGCUAACUACGUGCCAGCAGCCGCGGUAAAU